rnacentral:rRNA from 1 species
UACGGGGGGGGCAAGCGUUGUUCGGAAUUACUGGGCGUAAAGGGCUCGUAGGCGGCCAACUAAGGCAGACGUGAAAUCCCUCGGCUUAACCGGGGAACUGCGUCUGAUACUGGAAGGCUUGAAUCCGGGAGAGGUGAGUGGAAUUCCUAGUGUAGAGGUGAAAUUCGUAGAUAUUAGGAAGAACACCAGUGGCGAAGGCGGCUCACUGGCCCGGUACUGACGCUGAGGCGCGAAAGCGUGGGGAGCAAACAGG